rnacentral:rRNA from 1 species
UACGUAGGCAGCGAGCGUUGUUCGGAAUUACUGGGCGUAAAGAGUGUGUAGGUGGUGCUCUAAGUUUGGUGUGAAAUCUCCCGGCUCAACCGGGAGGGUGCAUCGAAAACUGGAGUGCUAGAGGAUGGGAGAGGCAAGCGGAAUUCCUGGUGUAGCGGUGAAAUGCGUAGAUAUCAGGAGGAACACCUGUGGUGUAGACAGCUUGCUGGACCAUUUCGGACACUGAGACACGAAAGCGUGGGUAGCAAACAGG